AGAUCCUAAGGCUCCUGAAUAUAAAGGUGGAACAGUUGGAAGCAGAUGUGGUUGUCAACGGAAAUGACUUCAGUCAGCUGAUUCACAAGACACGUACAGCUAUGUCAGACCUGGAGAGGGUUUUUCAGAAUGUGAAUGGAACAAAGUUAAAGGCAGCAGAUCUUCUGUCAGAAGCUGCAGCUCUCCGUACAUCGAUACACCACGUGAUGAAGUGGCGGCCUGAGGUGAAACCCACAGAGUCGCUCUCUCUCUCUGAGGACGACAGAGUCCGGAUGGUGGAGGAGGCUCAGAGCAGCGUGCAGGAGACGAGAGAGAGAGGC